UAAUACAGACGGUCCAAACGUUAUUCGGAAUUACUGGGCUUAAAGAGUUCGUAGGCGGUCCAGAAAGUGGGGUGUGAAAGCCCUCGGCUCAACCGAGGAACUGCGCUCCAAACUACUGGACUUGAGGAGGCUAGAGGUAAGCGGAACUGAUGGUGGAGCGGUGAAAUGCGUUGAUAUCAUCAGGAACACCGGAGGCGAAGGCGGCUUACUGGGGCCUUUCUGACGCUGAGGAACGAAAGCCAGGGGAGCGAACGGGAUUAGAUACCCCGGUAGUCCUGGCCGUAAACGAUGAGCACUGGGCCGGAGUUCUGCAUAGGAUUCCGGCCGUAGCGAAAGUGUUAAGUGCUCCGCCUGGGGAGUAUGGUCGCAAGGCUG
rnacentral:rRNA from 1 species